CGCGUAGGCGGUUCGUUAAGUUGCUGGUGAAAUCCCGGGGCUCAACUCCGGGGCUGCCGGCAAGACUGGCGGGCUCGAGCACGGUAGAGGCAGAUGGAAUUCCCGGUGUAGCGGUGGAAUGCGUAGAGAUCGGGAAGAAUACCAGUGGCGAAGGCGUUCUGCUGGGCCGUUGCUGACGCUGAGGCGCGACAGCGUGGGGAGCAAACAGGAUUAGAUACCCUGGUAGUCCACGCCGUAAACGAUGGACACUAGGCGUCGGGGGGAGCGACCCUCCCGGUGCCGUCGCUAACGCAGUAAGUGUCCCGCCUGGGGAGUACGGCCGCAAGGCUGAA
rnacentral:rRNA from 1 species